rnacentral:rRNA from 1 species
CAGCACCUCAAGUGGUCAGGAUGAUUAUUGGGCCUAAAGCAUCCGUAGCCGGCGCUGUAAGUUUUCGGUUAAAUCUGUACGCUCAACGUACAGGCUGGCGGGAAUACUGCAGAGCUAGGGAGUGGGAGAGGUAGACGGUACUCGGUAGGAAGGGGUAAAAUCCUUUGAUCUAUUGAUGACCACCUGUGGCGAAGGCGGUCUACCAGAACACGUCCGACGGUGAGGGAUGAAAGCUGGGGGAGCAAACCGGAUUAGAUACCCGAGUAGUCC